UAAUAGCGUAUAUUAAAGUUGUUGCAGUUAAAAAGCUCGUAGUCGGAUGUCGGGCUCGGGCAGGAUGUCGGCUUCGGUCGGACGUCCAGCUCGGGUCUUUCUGCCUGAAAAACCGCGGCAUUAACUUGUCGUUGGGAACGCAGGCCGUUUACUUUGAAAAAAUUAGAGUGUUCAAAGCAGGCCUACGCUUGAAUACAUUAGCAUGGAAUAAUGGAAUAGGACUUUGGUGCUAUUUUGUUGGUUUAUGGGACCGAAGUAAUGAUUAACAGGGACAGUUGGGGCCGUUUAUAUUUCGUUGUCAGAGGUGAAAUUCCUGGAUUUACGAAAGAUAAACUUCUGCGAAAGCAUUCGGCAAGGAUGUUUUCAUUGA
rnacentral:rRNA from 1 species